CGCGGGAUGGAGCAGUUUGGUAGCUCGUUGGGCUCAUAACCCGAAGGUCGAUGGUUCGAAUCCGUCUCCCGCAA
rnacentral:tRNA from 1 species